rnacentral:rRNA from 1 species
AUUGAACGCUAGCGGCAGGCCUAACACAUGCAAGUCGAGCGGAGCGGCGGACGGGUGAGUAAUGCAUAGGAAUCUGCCUGGUAGCGGGGGAUAACUACCGGAAAGGGUAGCUAAUACCGCAUACUAUUAGAUGAGCCGAGGUCGGAUUAGCUAGUUGGGGGGGUAAAGGCCUACCAAGGCGACGAUCCGUAACUGGUCUGAGAGGAUGAUCAGUCACACUGGAACUGAGACACGGUCCAGACUCCUACGGGAGGCAGCAGUGGGGAAUAUUGCACAAUGGGCGCAAGCCUGAUGCAGCCAUGCCGCGUGUAUGAAGAAGGCCGUCGGGUUGUAAAGUACUUUCAGCGGGGAGGCGUUACCCGCAGAAGAAGCACCGGCUAACUCCGUGCCAGCAGCCGCGGUAAUAC